UUUAAUACCUUCCUUUCACCAGUAGAUGUCCUCACAAACAGGUUUGUGCUUUGAAUUUAAACAUGAUUUUGGUUUGUACAUGAACUUGAAUAGCUCAAAUAGCUCACUCCAGACACCCACCUUUCAAUAAAUAUGUACAAAAAUAAAAAAAAAUGGUUCAAGAGGAUGCCCUUUAACUUUGGCAGGUGAUCAAAGCAGAUAUGGAACAAAACAAAGCUGACGGAGUUAUAUAUAAGUUACGGAAGUCCAGCCCCACCUAAUCCCGAAACUCCAAAUCACUCACAACAACCAAGGGCAAAACCCGUUGAAUUCAGUGCGAACUGAAAACAUCGACCAUAUCCCUCAAUGGCAAACAAAAACGCUAAUAUGUCAAAUUUGCGGACUGAAGACGUACACAAUGUGUAGAAAAUGCAGAGGCGGAUUUACAAAUUUUCAAGGUAAUGCUCAAGGAUUGGAAACAGCAACUAGAGGAAGAUUAUUUUACAUCGAAGAAUUUGGCUUCUAUGGUCUAAGAAGAUAAGGUAUGAUCAUUAGAGUCGCCAUUUUACAAAAUGGAGUAAUAAGUUUUUGACGUUUAAUUUGGCAAAUUCAAAAGCAACAACAUUUUCCAAGAAAAAAUUUUUAACAACAACAAUUUCAAUAGGGCAGCGUCAAAAACUUAGGAAGCCAUCUUUUUGUCUUUUAUCUGACAGUUCUCGAUACAGACUUUUUUCUAAUAUAAUGAUCAUACCUUCUCUUUUUAUACCAUGUUUGACUUCACCCUAAGAGCCUCAAUCAAUGAAAAUCAAUUCAAAAAUGGCUUAGAAAAAAAAAUUUUGAUUUCAACACAGGCACAGAAAUUCGAACGUUUGGGCAUCGAAAAAAAUGUUAUUUUGGCACGUAAUAAAUUGAUAGCGGUUUAAAUUGCGUUUUUCUCGAAAUGAGUUCGAAUGGACUUGUGCUGUUUUUCCACUGGAUCCUUCAUAUAUUUCAACUUAUUUUUUUUUUUUGUUGAAAUAAUCGAUUUCAAAGUUAAAAAUAGACAAAAAAAAAUUAAAAAACUCAUUAAUUACUAUUUUUGUCCAGAGUGUGAAUUUUAAUAAAAAAUUGACUCAUAUUGAAAA